UGAGCUUGAUCCUGGCUCAGGACGAACGCUGGCGGCGUGCCUAAUACAUGCAAGUCGAGCGGACUGAUGGGAGCUUGCUCCCUGAGGUUAGCGGCGGACGGGUGAGUAACACGUGGGCAACCUGCCUGUAAGACUGGGAUAACUCCGGGAAACCGGGGCUAAUACCGGAUAACCCGUUCCACCUCAUGGUGGAGCGGUAAAAGAUGGCCUCUGGCUAUCACUUACAGAUGGGCCCGCGGCGCAUUAGCUAGUUGGUAAGGUAACGGCUUACCAAGGCGACGAUGCGUAGCCGACCUGAGAGGGUGAUCGGCCACACUGGGACUGAGACACGGCCCAGACUCCUACGGGAGGCAGCAGUAGGGAAUCUUCCGCAAUGGACGAAAGUCUGACGGAGCAACGCCGCGUGAGUGAUGAAGGUUUUCGGAUCGUAAAGCUCUGUUGUUAGGGAAGAACAAGUGCCGUUUGAAUAAGGCGGCACCUUGACGGUACC
rnacentral:rRNA from 1 species